AGCUAAGCAGAUAAACGUCAACGUGAACCGCGUUAUCCGUCUUACACGCCUGAAACGUCGCUAUGACCCAGGAUACUCUCCAGAACUCGGACAGAGAGAUGAAAAUACCCCAACAGAUGCGGGGGCUUCGCUCCUUAACGCUGGCUAAGCCGAACUAACGUCCAGACCUUCACCUUCACCGCCUUUUUAUACCCUGCAAACGGAUGGAGGUCCUUGCGCAGGUGACUUUAAAGCAAAGGGCGUUCCCUUCAGCAGUCAGUCCUCCCUUUUCUCCUGGGAGAAACAGUAACCCGAUAACACUGACCUGAAAUAACACAGAGAGUGAGAUUAGUUUACCUCAGAGAUGAAGUAAAUACGCAGAAGCUGGUUAGCUAACCGCUUCAGUCGAAGAUGGGUGAGGUAACCGGCACGAGGAACGGCAUAAAAACAACACGGAACUAACCCUCAGAGCAAAAUUUCACUCAGAUUCAACAUUUCUGACAAAAACGCUGAAGUAAAAAUCGAUUAUAAGUGUUAAUACUGUCAAACCCACCAAUUCCCCCGCUUGUGCUAGUUACCUCACGAAGCUGAAGCGAGCUUCUUGUUCGAAUUUUCCCGUUCCACCUUAAACGCUGCCGCAGUUACAGCAGCAGCCGCCUCAGGCGCCAGUAUGUGACUGGUGCACUAUUUAAGGUGGAACGGGGAAAUUCGAACAAGAGGCUGGUGAACAGGAAGCCGACUUCAGCCGCGCUGCUACCCAAACCGAAGCCGGCCGGUUUCUACCGCUGAUGUUCGUUUAAUUUCGAACCGUCACUCCAAAAAAGAGGUAAAAACCGAUAAUAAUUUACCUUCAAAUGUUAAUCCGUGCACCAAAAUCCGCAGAGACGGUAGUAAAGGAUGGGAAGAUUAGAUAACAGAGGGGUUUCCUAUUCAGUCCCUCCUCAGUCGAGUCCCAGCCGGUGCCAACGAACUCAUGAAUAUUCAUGAGAGAACGCAUCAGCCCACAGCCGCUUGGCGUUCCAGAGCCAAUCAGGAACGAGUCUUUUGAUUACAGCAGACGCUCAGCGACCAAUCAGGUGUGGGGAAAGUAGACUUGGCUCGGAGCCAAAGGGAGAGUUCGUGGCCAAUGGUCUUCGCCCUCGUGAGGAGACCAAGCAUCAGUCACAGCAACACAACAAUGGAUCUAUACAGAGAAUCACAACAGCGUUAAGAUUUCCCUUCACUGGAACUAAGGCUUCUAGGCCAACCCCUGAAACAACCCCAUAUCAUCAUCCCUCCUCCACCAAACUUUACAAUUGGCACGGUGUAGUCAGACAGAAUGCAUUUCCACUGCUCCAGAGUCCAGCAUUGGCGUGAUUUACACCAAACCAUCCGAUGCUUGCCAUUGUGCAAUUUGAUCUUGGGCUUGUGUGAAGCCGCUCGGCCAUGGAAACCCAUUCCAUGAAGCUCCUAUUUGCUGAUGUUGCUUCCAGAGGCAAUUUGGAUCUCUUUAGUGAGAUAUUCAACAGAAGAUAGGCACUGCGCUUCGCUUGGUGGCUAAGCUGUUGUCGAUGCUUCCAUUUCACAAUAACAGCACUUACAGUUGUCUAGGGCAGAUCUAGCCAGACAGAUAAUUCACACAUUAUAUAGUGUGUGUGUGUGUGUGAGUAUAUGUAUCGUUGCUGUCGAAAGAAAUUUUAAAAAUGUUCCACAAAAAAUAUACUUUGACAAAUGAAACCUCAUAAAUCUAAUCAUUG
ensembl:lncRNA